rnacentral:rRNA from 1 species
UACGUAGGGUGCGAGCGUUGUCCGGAAUUAUUGGGCGUAAAGAGCUUGUAGGCGGUUUGUCGCGUCUGCUGUGAAAAUCCGGGGCUCAACUCCGGACUUGCAGUGGGUACGGGCAGGCUAGAGUGUGGUAGGGCAGACGGAAUUCCGGGUGGUAGCGGUGGAAUGCGUAGAGAGUCCGGAGGAAGACCGGUGGCGAAGGCGGUCUGCUGGGCAGUUUCUGACACUGAUGCGCGACAGCGUGGGGAGCAAACAGG